UGAGGGGUAAAGGCAAAUCUAACCUCAUCAGCUGCAACUGAUUGAAAGAAACCUUGAUUGCUAAUGAGCUACACAUGUGGCUGUAACACCUGAGGGCCUCUGGUUGGUCGGUGAAUAGCCUGACUUGUAAAAACUGGUGUGUAGCAGACAGCAGCACAUAGUGUCAGUUUGGCCAGAAUAUACAAGCAAGCAAGUGGUUCACUUAAGCUUGUGUUGGUUAGCAGGUGUAGUUUGCUAGCAGCUAGGCUAGCUUUAGACAUUGCCAACACAUCAGUUGCUAUGGCUUUUGGGUUUUGCCUUAGUGUUGCCUUAUUCCAUUCUGUGUGGUCAGCUGUAGAAUGUACCAGCUUUCCUGAAGGAGAUCUUCAUAUGGAGUGUCAUGAUCGUUACUUCAUGAUAGUUGUUGAUCUCUCCUUCACUGGGAAGGAACCUCGCUUUGAGGCUGUUAAGUUCUUCUUCUUCUUCUUGUUCUUCUUCUUCUAGCAGUUGGCAUCCUAUGCGUUGCAUUACUGCCUCCUAAUGCUGGGACAGGAGUGUACCCCAUCACUAAGCAGUAUGCAGCAAAGUGUGGCUACAGUGUCAGUGUUCUCCCUCUAAAGGGCCACAUGGAGCUCUGAGCCUCUUACUUCAGUGGCCACACUGACAACAAGG